rnacentral:rRNA from 1 species
CGGAAGAAGCACCGGGUAAAUCCGUGCCAGCAGCCGCGGUAAUACGGGAGGUGCAAGCGUUAAUCGGAAUUACUGGGCGUAAAGCGCGCGUAGGCGGUUUUGUAAGUCGGAUGUGAAAUCCCCGGGCUUAACCUGGGAACUGCAUUCGAUACUGCAUAACUAGAGUAUGGUAGAGGGAAGUGGAAUUCCGGGUGUAGCGGUGAAAUGCGUAGAUAUCCGGAGGAACACCGGUGGCGAAGGCGACUUCCUGGGCCAAUACUGACGCUGAGGUGCGAAAGCGUCGGGAGCAAACAGGAUUAGAUACCCCGGUAGUCCACGCCGUAAACGAUGAGAACUAGAUGUCGGGAGCAUUUGGCUUUCGGUGUCGCAGCUAACGCGUUAAGUUCUCCGCCUGGGGAGUACGCCGGCAACGGUAAAACUCAAAGGAAUUGACGGGGACCCGCACAAGCGGUGGAGCAUGUGGUUUAAUUCGAUGCAACGCGAAGAACCUUACCUGCCCUUGACAUUGACAGAAUCCUGUAGAGAUACGGGAGUGCUUCCGCCUGGAAAACAGGUGCUGCAUGGCUGCCGUCAGCUCGUGUCGUGAGAUGUUGGGUUAAGUCCCGCAACGAGCGCAACCCUUGUCCUUAGUUGCCAGCACGUAAUGGUGGGAACUCUAGGGAGACUGCCGGUGACAAACCGGAGGAAGGUGGGGACGACGUCAAGUCAUCAUGGCCCUUAUGGGCAGGGCUACACACGUGCUACAAUGGGGAGUACAGAGGGCUGCCAACCAGCGAUGGUGAGCCAAUCCCUUAAAGCUUCUCGUAGUCCGGAUCGGAGUCUGCAACUCGACUCCGUGAAGUCGGAAUCGCUAGUAAUCGCGAAUCAGAAUGUCGCGGUGAAUACGUUCCCGGGUCUUGUACACACCGCCCGUCACACCAUGGAAGUAGGUUGCACCAGAAGUAGGUAGCUUAACCCUCGGGAGGGCGCUUACCACGGUGUGGCUUAUGACUGGGGUGAAGUCGUAG